GCCGGAGUGGUGGAAUUGGUAGACACGCAGGAUUUAGGUUCCUGUGCCUUGUGGUGUGAGGGUUCGAGUCCCUUCUCCGGCACCGCAG
rnacentral:tRNA from 1 species